UACGGAGGGGGCAAGCGUUGUUCGGAAUUACUGGGCGUAAAGCGCACGUAGGCGGCUUUGUAAGUUAGAGGUGAAAGCCCGGGGCUCAACUCCGGAAUUGCCUUUAAGACUGCAUCGCUAGAAUUGUGGAGAGGUAAGUGGAAUUCCGAGUGUAGAGGUGAAAUUCGUAGAUAUUCGGAAGGACACCAGUGGCGAAGGCGGCUUACUGGGCACAUAUUGACGCUGAGGUGCGAAAGCGUGGGGAGCAAACAGG
rnacentral:rRNA from 1 species